UGAACGCUGGCGGUAUGCUUAACACAUGCAAGUCGAACGGAAACGAUACUAGCUUGCUAGUAGGCGUCGAGUGGCGGACGGGUGAGUAACGCGUAGGAAUCUGCCUGAUAGUGGGGGAUAGCCCGAAGAAAUUCGGAUUAAUACCGCAUAAUCUAUUCGUAGUAAAGUGGGGGACUUUCGAGCCUCACGCUAUCAGAUGAGCCUGCGUAAGAUUAGCUUGUUGGUAGGGUAAAAGCCUACCAAGGCGACGAUCUUUAGCUGGUCUGAGAGGAUGAUCAGCCACAUCGGGACUGAGACACGGCCCGAACUCCUACGGGAGGCAGCAGUGGGGAAUAUUGGACAAUGGGGGCAACCCUGAUCCAGCAAUACCGCGUGUGUGAAGAAGGCCUGAGGGUUGUAAAGCACUUUCAAUUGUGAAGAAAAGUUAGCGGUUAAUAACCGUUAGCCUUGACGUUAACUUUAGAAGAAGCACCGGCUAACUCCGUGCCAGCAGCCGCGGUAAUACGGAGGGUGCAAGCGUUAAUCGGAAUUACUGGGCGUAAAGCGUGCGUAGGCGGUUUAUUAAGUCAGAUGUGAAAGCCCCGGGCUUAACCUGGGAACUGCAUUUGAAACUGGUCAACUAGAGUAUGGUAGAGGAAAGUGGAAUUUCUGGUGUAGCGGUGAAAUGCGUAGAUAUCAGAAGGAACAUCAAUGGCGAAGGCAGCUUUCUGGACCAAUACUGACGCUGAGGUACGAAAGCGUGGGUAGCAAACAGGAUUAGAUACCCUGGUAGUCCACGCCGUAAACGAUGAUAACUAGCCGUUGGGGGGAUUUACCCUUUAGUGGCGAAGCUAACGCGUUAAGUUAUCCGCCUGGGGAGUACGGCCGCAAGGUUAAAACUCAAAGGAAUUGACGGGGACCCGCACAAGCGGUGGAGCAUGUGGUUUAAUUCGAUGCAACGCGAAGAACCUUACCUGGUCUUGACAUCCUGCGAACUUUCUAGAAAUAGAUUGGUGCCUUCGGGAACGCAGUGACAGGUGCUGCAUGGCUGUCGUCAGCUCGUGUCGUGAGAUGUCGGGUUAAGUCCCGUAACGAGCGCAACCCCUAUCCUUAUUUGCCAGCACAUCAUGGUGGGAACUAUAAGGAGACUGCCGGUGAUAAACCGGAGGAAGGCGGGGACGACGUCAAGUCAUCAUGGCCCUUACGACCAGGGCUACACACGUGCUACAAUGGGAAGGACAAAGAGCCGCGAAGCCGCGAGGUGUAGCUAAUCUCAUAAACCUUUUCGUAGUCCGGAUUGGAGUCUGCAACUCGACUCCAUGAAGUCGGAAUCGCUAGUAAUCGUAGAUCAGAAUGCUACGGUGAAUACGUUCCCGGGUCUUGUACACACCGC
rnacentral:rRNA from 1 species